GAUGAACGCUGGCGGCGUGCCUAAUACAUGCAAGUCGAGCGAACAGACGAGGAGCUUGCUCCUCUGACGUUAGCGGCGGACGGGUGAGUAACACGUGGAUAACCUACCUAUAAGACUGGGAUAACUUCGGGAAACCGGAGCUAAUACCGGAUAAUAUAUUGAACCGCAUGGUUCAAUAGUGAAAGACGGUUUUGCUGUCACUUAUAGAUGGAUCCGCGCCGCAUUAGCUAGUUGGUAAGGUACCGGCUUACCAAGGCAACGAUGCGUAGCCGACCUGAGAGGGUGAUCGGCCACACGGGAACUGAGACACGGUCCAGACUCCUACGGGAGGCAGCAGUAGGGAAUCUUCCGCAAUGGGCGAAAGCCUGACGGAGCAACGCCGCGUGAGUGAUGAAGGUCUUCGGAUCGUAAAACUCUGUUAUUAGGGAAGAACAAAUGUGUAAGUAACUAUGCACGUCUUGACGGUACCUAAUCAGAAAGCCACGGCUAACUACGUG
rnacentral:rRNA from 1 species